GACGAACGCUGGCGGCGUGCCUAAUACAUGCAAGUUGAGCGAUGAGGAUUGGUGCUUGCACCAACUUGAAGAGCAGCGAACGGGUGAGUAACGCGUGGGGAAUCUGCCUUUGAGCGGGGGACAACAUUUGGAAACGAAUGCUAAUACCGCAUAACAACUUUAAACAUAAGUUUUAAGUUUGAAAGAUGCAAUUGCAUCACUCAAAGAUGAUCCCGCGUUGUAUUAGCUAGUUGGUGAGGUAAAGGCUCACCAAGGCGAUGAUACAUAGCCGACCUGAGAGGGUGAUCGGCCACAUUGGGACUGAGACACGGCCCAAACUCCUACGGGAGGCAGCAGUAGGGAAUCUUCGGCAAUGGACGAAAGUCUGACCGAGCAACGCCGCGUGAGUGAAGAAGGUUUUCGGAUCGUAAAACUCUGUUGGUAGAGAAGAACGUUUGUGAGAGUGGAAAGCUCAUCAAGUGACGGUAACUACCCAGAAAGGGACGGCUAACUACGUG
rnacentral:rRNA from 1 species